AUUGAACGCUGGCGGCAGGCCUAACACAUGCAAGUCGAGCGAGCGGCGGACGGGUGAGUAAUGUCUGGGAAACUGCCUGAUGGAGGGGGAUAACUACUGGAAACGGUAGCUAAUACCGCAUACCAUCAGAUGUGCCCAGUUGGGAUUAGCUAGUAGGUGGGGUAAUGGGUCACCUAGGCGACGAUCCCUAGCUGGUCUGAGAGGAUGACCAUCCAACAUGGAAAUGAGACACGGUCCAUACUCCGACGGGAGGAGGCAGUGGGGAAUAUUGCACAAUGGGCGCAAGCCUGAUGCAGCCAUGCCGCGUGUGUGAAGAAGGCCUUCGGGUUGUAAAGCACUUUCAGCGGGGAGGCGUUACCCGCAGAAGAAGCACCGGCUAACUCCGUGCCAGCCGCCGCGGUAAUUC
rnacentral:rRNA from 1 species